AUUGAACGCUGGCGGCAUGCCUUACACAUGCAAGUCGAACGGCAGCACGGGAGCAAUCCUGGUGGCGAGUGGCGAACGGGUGAGUAAUAUAUCGGAACGUGCCCAGUCGUGGGGAUAACGUAGCGAAAGCUACGCUAAUACCGCAUACGAUCUACGGAUGAAAGCGGGGGAUCGCAAGACCUCGCGCGAUUGGAGCGGCCGAUAUCAGAUUAGGUAGUUGGUGAGGUAAAGGCUCACCAAGCCGACGAUCUGUAGCUGGUCUGAGAGGACGACCAGCCACACUGGGACUGAGACACGGCCCAGACUCCUACGGGAGGCAGCAGUGGGGAAUUUUGGACAAUGGGCGCAAGCCUGAUCCAGCAAUGCCGCGUGCAGGAUGAAGGCCUCGGUUGU
rnacentral:rRNA from 1 species